AGCAUGUGGUUAAUUCGAAGCAACGACGAAGAACCUUACCAGGUCUUGACAUCCCUGACAACCCGAGAGAUCGGCGUUCCCCUUCGGGGGACAGGGUGACAGGUGGUGCAUGGUUGUCGUCAGCUCGUGUCGUGGGAUGUUGGGUUAAGUCCCGCAACGAGCGCAACCCUCGACCUUAGUUGCCAGCAUUCAGUUGGGCACUCUAAGGUGACUGCCGGCUAAAAGUCGGAGGAAGGUGGGGAUGACGUCAAAUCAUCAUGCCCCUUAUGACCUGGGCUACACACGUGCUACAAUGGGCGGUACAAAGGGUCGCGAACCCGCGAGGGGGAGCCAAUCCCAAAAAGCCGCUCUCAGUUCGGAUUGCAGGCUGCAACUCGCCUGCAUGAAGCCGGAAUCGCUAGUAAUCGCGGAUCAGCAUGCCGCGGUCGAAUACGUUCCCGGGCCUU
rnacentral:rRNA from 1 species